GCAGGCCUAACACAUGCAAGUCGAGCGGUAGCACAGAGAGCUUGCUCUCGGGUGACGAGCGGCGGACGGGUGAGUAAUGUCUGGGAAACUGCCUGAUGGAGGGGGAUAACUACUGGAAACGGUAGCUAAUACCGCAUAACGUCGCAAGACCAAAGAGGGGGACCUUCGGGCCUCUUGCCAUCAGAUGUGCCCAGAUGGGAUUAGCUAGUAGGUGGGGUAACGGCUCACCUAGGCGACGAUCCCUAGCUGGUCUGAGAGGAUGACCAGCCACACUGGAACUGAGACACGGUCCAGACUCCUACGGGAGGCAGCAGUGGGGAAUAUUGCACAAUGGGCGCAAGCCUGAUGCAGCCAUGCCGCGUGUAUGAAGAAGGCCUUCGGGUUGUAAAGUACUUUCAGCGAGGAGGAAGGCAUUGUGGUUAAUAACCACAGUGAUUGACGUUACUCGCAGAAGAAGCACCGGCUAACUCC
rnacentral:rRNA from 1 species